CUCAAGGUUACUUGCUUUCUGACAAUAACGAAUUGUGAAUCUUCAAUCAGUGCUUUUGAUUGAACAUUGCUACUGGAAAACAAUUAUGGAACCAUUUUCUUUAAAGCCCUGAUGAAUCAUUGCUUUUUGAAUUUGGGAUUUCAGCUCCACUUCUUGAGAUUGAUCUUUGGGUCGUGCAACUUAAAUCAAAUCCACUUCCCCCGG
rnacentral:misc_RNA from 1 species